rnacentral:rRNA from 1 species
UACGUAGGGUGCUAGCGUUGCUCGGAAUUACUGGGCGUAAAGUGCACGUAGGCGGCUCUUUAAGUCGGAGGUGAAAUCCUGGAGCUCAACUCCAGAACUGCCUUCGAUACUGAAGAGCUCGAGUCCGGGAGAGGUGAGUGGAACUGCGAGUGUAGAGGUGAAAUUCGUAGAUAUUCGCAAGAACCCAGUGGCGAAGGCGGCUCACUGGCCCGAUACUGACGCUGAGGCACGAAAGCGUGGGGAGCAAACAGG